GUUCCCUCCGAGACGGAUCCCGAGUAGUGCGGGGCACGUGAAACCCCGUAUGAAUCCGGCAGGACCAUCUGCCAAGGCUAAAUACUUCCUAGCGACCGAUAGUGAAGCAGUACCGUGAGGGAAAGGUGAAAAGCACCCCGGAAGGGGAGUGAAAUAGAACCUGAAACCGUGUGCUUACAAAAAGUCAGAGCCCGUUUUAGGGGUGAUGGCGUGCCUUUUGUAGAAUGAACCGGCGAGUUACGUUCCCGUGCAAGGUUAAGGUGAAGAGCCGGAGCCGCAGCGAAAGCGAGUCUGAAUAGGGCGACUUAGUACGUGGACGUAGACCCGAAACCGGGUGAUCUACCCCUGUCCAGGGUGAAGGUGCGGUAACACGCACUGGAGGCCCGAACCCACGCAUGUUGAAAAAUGCGGGGAUGAGGUGGGGGUAGCGGAGAAAUUCCAAUCGAACUCGGAGAUAGCUGGUUCUCCCCGAAAUAGCUUUAGGGCUAGCCUCGGAAAACAGAGUCGUGGAGGUAGAGCACUGAUUGGGUGCGGGGCCCGCAAGGGUUACCAAGCUCAGUCAAACUCCGAAUGCCAUAGACUUACUUCCGGGAGUCAGACAGUGAGUGCUAAGAUCCAUUGUCAAAAGGGAAACAGCCCAGACCAUCAGCUAAGGUCCCCAAGUGUGUGUUAAGUGGGAAAGGAUGUGGAGUUGCACAGACAACCAGGAUGUUGGCUUAGAAGCAGCCACCAUUGAAAGAGUGCGUAAUAGCUCACUGGUCGAGUGACUCUGCGCCGAAAAUGUAACGGGGCUAAACACACCACCGAAGCUAUGGCUUGAUGCUUUGCAUCAGGGGUAGGGGAGCGUUGUAUAAGGGUUGAAGGUGUACCGUAAGGAGCGCUGGACAUUAUACAAGUGAGAAUGCCGGUAUGAGUAACGAAAAGAUCAGUGAGAAUCUGAUCCGCCGAAAGCCUAAGGGUUCCUGAGGAAGGCUCGUCCGCUCAGGGUAAGUCGGGACCUAAGGCGAGGCCGAAAGGCGUAGUCGAAGGACAACAGGUCGAAAUUCCUGUACCACCGUAAGCCGUUAUGAGCAAUGGGGGGACGCAGCAGGGUAGUGACGCGGACUGAUGGAUGUCCGUCUAAGCAGUGAGGCUGAUGUGUAGGCAAAUCCGCACAUCGUAAGGCUGG
rnacentral:rRNA from 1 species